rnacentral:rRNA from 1 species
GAUGAACGCUGGCGGCGUGCCUAAUACAUGCAAGUCGAGCGAACAGACGAGGAGCUUGCUCCUCUGACGUUAGCGGCGGACGGGUGAGUAACACGUGGAUAACCUACCUAUAAGACUGGGAUAACUUCGGGAAACCGGAGCUAAUACCGGCUCAUAUAUUGAACCGCAUGGUUCAAUAGUGAAAGACGGUUUUGCUGUCACUUAUAGAUGGAUCCGGGCCGGAUUAGCUAGUUGGUAAGGUAACGGCUUACCAAGGCAACGAUGCGUAGCCGACCUGAGAGGGUGAUCGGCCACACUGGAACUGAGACACGGUCCAGACUCCUACGGGAGGCAGCAGUAGGGAAUCUUCCGCAAUGGGCGAAAGCCUGACGGAGCAACGCCGCGUGAGUGAUGAAGGUCUUCGGAUCGUAAAACUCUGUUAUUAGGGAAGAACAAAUGUGUAAGAAACUAUGCACGUCUUGACGGUACCUAAUCAGAAAGCCACGGCUAACUACGUG